rnacentral:rRNA from 1 species
AAGGAUGGGUGAGAGGAAAAAUAUUGGGUUUUAUGGGAGCUCAUGACACAACCCAAAUUCAUGGGAGUUAUGGGUUUCCGUGAUAUUGAGCUUUUUAAUUUGACUUUGCUUGUCUACCAGGCAUGGCGCCUCUUUACAACACCUAACUCUCUAAGCCCCUGCAUUCUCAAGUCUAUUUAUUACCCCACAUGCUCUAUUAUUGAUGCGGACUUAGGAAACCAUCCCUCACAAGUGUGGCGGUCCAUUUUGGAAGGAAGAGAUACCAUCAAGUUAGGUCUUAUAAAGAGGUUUGACAAUGGGGAAGAUACGAAUAUUUUUUAUGAUAACUGGAUUCCUUGGGACUUCAAGUUGAGGUCGAUUUGUUCCAAAUCUUUGAAUCCAUCGCAAAAGGUCUCAAAACUUAUUUAUCACAACACAAAAUCAUGGAAUGCAACUAUAAUUGAUGAGCAUUUCUUUGAGAUGGACAAGGAGGCAAUCUUAAAUAUCCCCCUCAGUGUGCAUAUUACUGUCAUCAACAAAGAAGUAGCGUACGUAUUGGUUACAUCAUAUUCCAGGCCACUCUCAUAUUGA